rnacentral:ncRNA from 1 species
UUCUUCGGGGCAGGGUGAAAUUCCCUACCGGCGGUAUAGUCCGCGACCCGCCGUUGGCGGCUGAGAUGGUGCAAUUCCAUCACCGACAGUAUAGUCUGGAUGAGAGAAGAA